CCAGGACCACCAUUCAGAAGUCUCACAGAAUCGCAAUCCAUAGUCUCUGUCAUCAUGUUCGUUGUCAAAGCUAUUGUCCUCGUUGUUGCCAUGUUGGCCUUGGUGUACGUGGCUGUCGCUCAUCCCGGUUUCGGAUACGGGUCAUAUGGUCAUGGAUACGGACAAGGAUACGGGCAUGGCUACUUUGCACCUAGUUACGGGCACGGGUACGGUUCACAUGGAUAUGAUUUCGGAUACAGUCCAUACUACAACCAGCACUCAUUCUACGACCACGGUCACCAUUGAGGAUUGAAUUCCGAAUGGGCCCAAGAUAGUUCACCUUUCUGAACUAUCCGCACACUGCUACACAUUCCCCUUUUCAUUUUCUUUUUUGAGAAAUGAAGAAAAUGAGAUGAAAUUAAAAGAAUGUAAGAAACUGAAUUAGCAAAAUGAAGAAAUGAAAAGUG